CAGCAGGGACCAUUCCCCGAAAGGGGAACUUUCCGGCAAGGACUCUCGUAGAGGUGCUGCAUGGCUGUCGUCAGCUCGUGUCGUGAGAUGUUGGGUUAAGUCCCGCAACGAGCGCAACCCUUGUUUUGCUGUUGCCAUCACGUUAUGGUGGGCACUCUGCAAAGACUGCCGGUGAUAAACCGGAGGAAGGUGGGGAUGACGUCAAGUCAGCAUGGCCUUUAUGUCUGGGGCUACACACGUGCUACAAUGGCCGGUACAAACCGUCGCAAAACCGUAAGGUCGAGCUAAUCGGACAAAGCCGGUCUCAGUUCGGAUUGUAGGCUGCAACUCGCCUGCAUGAAGUUGGAAUCGCUAGUAAUCGCGGAUCAGCACGCCGCGGUGAAUACGUUCCCGGGCCUUGUACACACCGCCCGUCACAUCACGAAAGCCGGUUGUACUAGAAGUCGCCAUACCAACCCGCAAGGGAGGGAGGCGCCUAAGGUAUGGUCGGUGAUUGGGGUGAAGUCGUAACAAGGUAAGCGUAGUGCU
rnacentral:rRNA from 1 species